rnacentral:lncRNA from 1 species
CCGUGAAAGUCCUGAGGUGGGGGUCCCCGAAGAGCCCACAGUGGGUGUAGUUGGGAGCUGCCGAGUGUUUGUGAAAGCUCUUCUCGUAGUGGCAGAUUUCGGGGCUGUCAGAGCGCUCCUGGCUGUCCCCGGGGGGCAAUGUCCGGAGGCGGGGCUGGGACGUGGGGCCAUCCUUGGAGCAGUUGUGUUGCACCAUGAGAUCGUCUAUGCCAUGCACGGCCGAGUGGUAGGCCAGGUCCCCCCUGCAGGUGCGGGCGGUGCGGCGGGUGCAGUGCGCGUAGGCGCGCAACGCCGUGCAGAACUCCGGGGUUUCCUCUGCGCCCAGGUGGUGCGAACCCGACGUGGCCGCCCAGAACUCAGAGUUGCACUUGAGGAUCUUGCAUGGAGACGUCACUGGAGGGAAGAUGCAGAGAAAGACAGGGAGGAUUUGGAAAAGUCCCAGGGCUGUGGAUCCUGCCCCUCUCCCCAUACCCAUCCAUCCAGCUCGAGCUUUAACCACUAUCCUCUCCCUGGAAGAAGAGUUUAAAAAAAAAAAAAAAAAAAAAAAAAAGGAAGGAAAGGGGGAAAAAAAAAGAAAUUGGGAAGGGAGGAAAAGAGGGGGGAAAAAAAAAAAGAAAAAGGAAAAAUAAAUCAAUCGAAAGAAAGACUAAGAAAAAAUAAAAUAAAAUCUAAAAGCCCCACAUGGCUCCGAGGAGCGAUGCAGGGACGGGCGGCCCCAGCUCCUCUGGUGCCCUCUGCAC